rnacentral:misc_RNA from 1 species
ACAGUCAGCAGUGAGACUCCUACGGGACCCAGCAGUAGGACACACUCCUAUGGGAGUCAUCAGUGAGGCCCAAUCGUAAGUCAUACAGCAGUCAGACUCCUACGAAAUCCAUCUUUCUCAUUCCUAAGGGGGAAAACAGAGUCAUUCCUACGGCAGGCAGCAGUCCCACUCCUACUCCCUGCAGCAGGGAGNCUCCUACGGGAGGUUCCAGUGGGUA